rnacentral:rRNA from 1 species
UACGUAGGCAGCAAGCGUUGUUCGGAAUUACUGGGCGUAAAGAGUGUGUAGGCGGUGUUCUAAGUCUGUCGUGAAAUCUCCCGGCUUAACUGGGAGGGUGCGGCGGAAACUGGAAUGCUAGAGGAUGGGAGAGGUAAGCGGAAUUCCUGGUGUAGCGGUGAAAUGCGUAGAUAUCAGGAGGAACACCUGUGGUGUAGACAGCUUACUGGACCAUUUCUGACGCUGAGACACGAAAGCGUGGGUAGCAAACAGG